UACGGGAGGCAGCAGUGGGGAAUAUUGCACAAUGGGCGCAAGCCUGAUGCAGCCAUGCCGCGUGUAUGAAGAAGGCCUUCGGGUUGUAAAGUACUUUCAGUCGUGAGGAAGGUGUUAAGGUUAAUAACCUUAGCAAUUGACGUUAGCGACAGAAGAAGCACCGGCUAACUCCGUGCCAGCAGCCGCGGUAAUACGGAGGGUGCGAGCGUUAAUCGGAAUUACUGGGCGUAAAGGGCACGCAGGCGGUUAAUUAAGUUGGAUGUGAAAUCCCCGGGCUUAAACCUGGGAAUGGCAUUCAAGACUGGUUAGCUAGAGUCUUGUAGAGGGGGUAGAAUUCCAUGUGUAGCGGUGAAAUGCGUAGAGAUGUGGAGGAAUACCGGUGGCGAAGGCGGCCCCUGGACAAAGACUGACGCUCAUGUGCGAAAGCGUGGGGAGCAAACAGGGAUUAGAUACC
rnacentral:rRNA from 1 species